UACGUAGGGUGCGAGCGUUAAUCGGAAUUACUGGGCGUAAAGCGUGCGCAGGCGGUGAUGUAAGACCGAUGUGAAAUCCCCGGGCUUAACCUGGGAACUGCAUUGGUGACUGCAUCGCUCGAGUAUGGCAGGAGGGGGGUAGAAUUCCACGUGUAGCAGUGAAAUGCGUAGAGAUGUGGAGGAAUACCGAUGGCGAAGGCCAGCCCCCUGGGUCAAUACUGACGCUCAUGCACGAAAGCGUGGGGAGCAAACAGG
rnacentral:rRNA from 1 species